GAUGAACGCUGGCGGUAUGCCUAACACAUGCAAGUCGUACGAGAGUUUUUAACUCUAGUGGCGGACGGGUGAGUAACACGUGAGAAUUUGCCUUUAGGAGGGGAUAACAAUUGGAACGAAUGCUAAUACCCCAUAUGCUUUUGAGUGAAACGGAUUUAUCCGCCUAGAGAGAAGCUCGCGGCUGAUUAGCUUGUUGGUAAGGUAAGAGCUUACCAAGGCGACGAUCAGUAUCUGGUUUGAGAGGACGAUCAGACACACUGGAACUGAGACACGGUCCAGACUCCUACGGGAGGCAGCAGUGGGGAAUUUUCCGCAAUGGGCGAAAGCCUGACGGAGCAAUACCGCGUGAGGAAGAAUGCCUAUGGGUUGUAAACCUCUUUUUCUAGGGAGGAAUAAAAAUAGACGUGGUAACCUGAAGAAUAAGCAUCGGCUAACUCCGUGCCAGCAG
rnacentral:rRNA from 1 species